GACGAACGCUGGCGGCGUGCUUAACACAUGCAAGUCGAACGGAAAGGCCCUGCUUUUGUGGGGUGCUCGAGUGGCGAACGGGUGAGUAACACGUGAGUAACCUGCCCUUGACUUUGGGAUAACUUCAGGAAACUGGGGCUAAUACCGGAUAGGAGCUCCUGCUGCAUGGUGGGGGUUGGAAAGUUUCGGCGGUUGGGGAUGGACUCGCGGCUUAUCAGCUUGUUGGUGGGGUAGUGGCUUACCAAGGCUUUGACGGGUAGCCGGCCUGAGAGGGUGACCGGCCACAUUGGGACUGAGAUACGGCCCAGACUCCUACGGGAGGCAGCAGUGGGGAAUAUUGCACAAUGGGCGGAAGCCUGAUGCAGCAACGCCGCGUGCGGGAUGACGGCCUUCGGGUUGUAAACCGCUUUCGCCUGUGACGAAGCGUGAGUGACGGUAAUGGGUAAAGAAGCACCGGCUAACUACGUGCCAGCAGCCGCGGUGAUACGUAGGGUGCGAGCGUUGUCCGGAUUUAUUGGGCGUAAAGGGCUCGUAGGUGGUUGAUCGCGUCGGAAGUGUAAUCUUGGGGCUUAACCCUGAGCGUGCUUUCGAUACGGGUUGACUUGAGGAAGGUAGGGGAGAAUGGAAUUCCUGGUGGAGCGGUGGAAUGCGCAGAUAUCAGGAGGAACACCAGUGGCGAAGGCGGUUCUCUGGGCCUUUCCUGACGCUGAGGAGCGAAAGCGUGGGGAGCGAACAGGCUUAGAUACCCUGGUAGUCCACGCUGUAAACGGUGGGUACUAGGUGUGGGGUCCAUUCCACGGGUUCCGUGCCGUAGCUAACGCUUUAAGUACCCCGCCUGGGGAGUACGGCCGCAAGGCUAAAACUCAAAGGAAUUGACGGGGCCCCGCACAAGCGGCGGAGCAUGCGGAUUAAUUCGAUGCAACGCGUAGAACCUUACCUGGGUUUGACAUGGAUCGGGAGCGCUCAGAGAUGGGUGUGCCUCUUUUGGGGUCGGUUCACAGGUGGUGCAUGGCUGCCGUCAGCUCGUGUCGUGAGAUGUUGGGUUAAGUCCCGCAACGAGCGCAACCCUUGUUCACUGUUGCCAGCACGUUAUGGUGGGGACUCAGUGGAGACCGCCGGGGUCAACUCGGAGGAAGGUGGGGAUGACGUCAAGUCAUCAUGCCCCUUAUGUCCAGGGCUUCACGCAUGCUACAAUGGCUGGUACAGAGAGUGGCGAGCCUGUGAGGGUGAGCGAAUCUCGGAAAGCCGGUCUCAGUUCGGAUUGGGGUCUGCAACUCGACCUCAUGAAGUCGGAGUCACUAGUAAUCGCAGAUCAGCAACGCUGCGGUGAAUACGUUCCCGGG
rnacentral:rRNA from 1 species